rnacentral:rRNA from 1 species
UACGGAGGGUGCGAGCGUUGUCCGGAAUCACUGGGCGUAAAGGGCGCGUAGGUGGCGACCCAAGUCAACGGUGAAAGCUCGGCGCUUAACGCCGAGUCGGCCGUCGAUACUGGGUGGCUCGAGCACUGUAGAGGCAGAUGGAAUUCCGGGUGUAGCGGUGGAAUGCGUAGAGAUCCGGAAGAACACCGGUGGCGAAGGCGGUCUGCUGGGCAGUUGCUGGACACUGAG